UUAUUACUCCCUCCGUCCCGAAAUUCUUGUCUUAGAUUUGUCUAAAUACGGAUGUAUCAAGUCACGUUUUAGUAUUAGGUACAUCCGUAUCUAGACAAAUCUAAGACAAAAAUUUUGAGACGGAGGGAGUAGUUA
rnacentral:pre_miRNA from 1 species